CCUAGGUGCGUGACGUCAUUUAUGGACGGCCCUAAGUGGUAUUGGCCAAACAUCCCAAUUCUGAAACACCGCCUGCAAAUGGCUCAAUUGUGAUGACAUGUACAUAGCAUCAAUAUCGUCCCCUUGUAUGAAUACUUAAAACUAACUUUAGAUUUUAUUUUACCAAAUACACACAGCUCUUUUUCAGAAGCGACCUGGCCACAAAUGAUAGCUUAACGAGGUGGAUUAUCAUCACGUGGAAAUUUAUAGCAGCCAAAAACUUGUCAGGACUCUCUUUAAAAAAAUCUUGAGACCCAGGGAGGCGCUCCCGAGCAAACAGGCGUAACAAUAUACCUACUGCACCGAACUAUGGAUGUCGUGAUUUAAUUCAAUGUUAUUGUUCCUUGUGUUGGUAGCUAUGUGGUUUAGGAGCUUGUGCCGAUGUCGAGAUUGGUUCGCCACUACGAGAGGGAUUCGUUCAAUGCACAUAGUUCGUGUUUUGCUGUUCCUCCGUUUAAGGAGUGCAGCAUACAGUUGUGUUUAUUUGUUUCAAGUGAUUUGUUUACCUUUCCUAUACUUUGCACUCGUAUCGUAUUUUUGUAUUGUUUGUUUAAAUGUUCUGACCCGCCUCUACUGGACAUCUGUGAAAAAGAGCUUUCUAGCUCAUCGGAUUCCUCCAGUAUAAAUACAUAUUCUGAUUAUGUGUACGAUAUGGUCCAUCAUUAUAAUUACUAUAUGUCAAUAUAAUUGUCAUUAUGCGAAAUUGUAUUAAUUUUACUCUAUGAAGUUUUUGGUAUUUCACAAUUUUAUUGUGUUUUAAUGUACUCGGUAAGAUGUAAUAUAGCUCUACUUAAAAGUGAUCCACUGCAGUGCACUCAGCAUCAGGCUAAGACUCUUAAUCUUAGCAACUCUAAAAUAGUAGUGCAUAUGAGGGUGUAAUUUAGCUGUAUUGUGAAGAAACAUCUCGAUCUUAUAACGUGCCUCCCACUAGUAGGUAUACGUACAACUGUGGAAACAAAGCUGCUCAUGAGCAAAGGGUGAAAACAAAAUUCGGGCGCCACCUUUCACGAGAAUUGUGUGGCUAAUGUGGUCUCGCAAUGCACGUGAUUUUCCACGGCUUACAACCCGCUGAUCAGGUGUGCGAUAGUUCGACACACGUGUGUAGGUGCGAUAUUGUUUGACGAUAAGACGUUCUCUGGGUCAAGUAGCCAGCGUGCACGAGGUUGAGUAAGCACGCAAGAGGGCUGGUUGUGCGGACCUUGAAGGGCUCACAUGAUGAAUACCUUCGGAUGUUUUAUUGUGUUACUUGCCACAUGCUGUACAGAGGGUAAGAAGUCUGGCAGUGGAAUUUUGGAUCACGUGGAGGUUGGAGAUGAGGUAUUUGGGGAGGCCGUUGAGGAGAUAACUGCAAUAGUUGAGUUGAGAAGUUAUGAAGGUAUGGAUGAGGGUUUCAGCAACAUUUGGGGUAAGGAAAAAGUGGAUGUGGGAGAUGUUGCGUGGAUGGAGGCAUGAAAUCCUGCAGAAUUGAGUUAUGUCGAUUUAGAUCUGGAGCUCAGGAUCAAUGCCAUUUCCGCCAGCGCUUUUUAUCCUUCAUGACUGCUGCUGCUGCUGCUGCCACAUCCAUAUUAGGAAUGUAGUGAAAGGUCGAUUCAUCAUGGACACGCUGCAGGCUCCAUCGGGGCUCUGUCUUGGUCCCCGACUAGAGCAAGGCUUCCUCUUCUUUGCAGAUCUCGCAGUCAAUAGGAAUAAAAUAGCGUCCACCCGUGACAUCUGUAUUAUAUAAUAUUUUACUUAUUUAUCCAGAAAGUCACACUAAGUCAUAUGACUCUUUCAGGAGGGUUCUGGAUUGAGUUUAAAUUUUAAGUUGUUUUCAACCCGUUAAUGAUGAGUGCUCAUAUACGGGCGAGUAAACCGGAGCACCCAGAGAAAACGCACGCACACAAGGGGGCAACGCUUAAUCCCCAUACAUUUGGAAACAGUCUGGCACCGCAAUGUCCACUUGCCACCUCCACAGUGCUGGAUUAGAGGCGCGCUACCACACUCGCCUUAUCCGUGCCGCCUUUGAUAAAUAAUGGGAAGGCCGUGUCUACGGAUCAUGAUAACCUUCGCAGAGGCCCUUUGGGGCCCUGUGUAUUACAAGAGUUGCGGGCGACAGUCGCAGACAACUUCUGGCUUCCUAUGUAAGUAUGUUUAAUUUCUUUCGCACUGUACGUAACCAACCGUACUAAUAAGAGGAGUAUCAGUUAAUUUCCACAGCAUUUAGAUGAUGAUGAUGAGAGAAAUCUGAAGGCUUUUCGAUAACCCAUGAAAACUGCUGCAACUUAUGUUCGUCAGGGUGUGUUGAGUGAAUUCACCCAGACGUGACAACGCAGUCUUACCAGAGCAGAGGCCAGAUGUGCAGAUAACAAUGCUCUUCAUUAAUUCCCUCUCCAACGAUUAUCCUGUCCAGCAUAUAUUUUGAAAUGCUUUGGGAAAGCACAUAUUAAUUCUAAAAUAUGGGUUGCAGUGGUAAAUCUGUCUUGCCUUUCACAUAACUCUGCAGGAUGUUGGCGGUUUACAUGCAUUCCUUUGUGCAUUAACAGAAGCAGAACACAGUUAAGAGUUCAUUAUGCAUUAUCUAUUCACGCCUGUCUGCCCGCUAAUACAUAUAUUACGGGGUAUACAUUUAUAAUUUAUUAUUUUCCAGAUGCGAGAUAUUGCGGGAUUUCGCCAGUUGUUGAUUUGUAAAAUGUCGUCAUUGCAAAUAUUCAACAAUUACGUAAACUUACAACACACACCGGCGGUAUGGACCCCUUGAAUUUAAAGGUCGCGUUUCACACGUGCAACAAUGAUGUUUAAUCCAUAAGUCACGAUAAUCACAAUUGUCAACAUAGCAAAUUAUAUCAUUAAUCUUGAUUUGAAGCUUUCGUGACUGCAGGAAUUCAUACUCUUUGGUUAUUUCGGUAAAGUCACGUAGUUAGAAAAAUAACUAUUAGAUCACGACGUUUCAAUCGCAACACAAGCAAUCGUCCUCAGGUGAAAAAAACAUAUCAUAAACAUAAUGAAUGCAUUGUGUCAGCAACAUUUCAUACAAUUAUUUUAAUUCAAAUUGGUUUAUUUAAAGUAAUGCUUUUUAUUAUUUGGGGAUUUGUCUUUUAUCUCAAAAGCUACUACAAUACACAAACAAACACCUUGUGAAAGACCCAACAACAAGAUCCCAAGGUUUGAUUUUCCACAAAGCUCUUCGUCCACCCUAAACCACAUCCGCACAAACCAUAGCAGAUUCGGCUACCUGAUGCACAAGUGGAAAAUUAAAAACUCUCCAGGGUGUGGUUGUGGUCGUCCAGAACAGACCGUACAACGUACAAUGACGCAACGCCCGAUCCACAAAUAAGAAGCAGACAUCACGGCAUUACACUCCGCUGCUUCUGACGCAGUUUUCUGGCUUGACCACCUGAAUGUGAAAUUCUAGCUAUUGCUCUGCAUCUACAUCAGCCAUAAGAACAAAAAAGCAACUAUUCGUAGCUCUUCAUAUGGCCAUUUAAAUCAGGUAAUCAGAUAAAACAUAAAAACUUAUCCGGCCCCAUGUUGUAAACCAGUGCAGUCUCCAACCCUGAUUAGCUCUUUCUCUGGCCUCUGCGUGCUGUGAAGAAGGGACAUUGCCCGAAACGUCGGCACUUAUAUACUUAUUUUAAGGCCACUGUUGUUGACGAGUGUGUUGAAUUUGUUGUUGUUGUUUGUGCUUGUGCACCACUGCCAAAGCAGCAGCAUCACCACAUCAUGUUUAUUAAACUUCAUCGAUUUAAAUGUGUUCAAUAUAACCAUAUUAAAAAGUAUAUGCGAAAGCAUGGAGACAUAAAAAGCAAUGAAUAGUAAUGUAAGAUUCAAAAUAUGACAUCCUCUAUUUAAUGAAUUACGAAUUGAUUGCUGCCUGGGUAUAAUUCAUGACUCGGGCAACUGUUACUGCUCAAAUUGCACGCACAGGACUAGUCCACGCACUGCGUUCUCAAUAUUGCAUGCCUUGUAACAACGCUUGGCUAUGAAAAACACAACUUGAUAACUUGUUGUCUUCGGCUAUGGACUACAGAUCUAGCACUCAUCAUAAUCCAUACAAACGAUGCGAUCUACGGUAUGUGCAUGAAUAAGUGCAGUGUCGUGUUUUAUAGAUUCACCACUGUGGCGAGAUGUUAAUUACCUCGCCUGGUGUACAGGAGGUCGUGGGUUCGAUCUCGACCCUGA